GGCUCCUCAGCCUCUCCGUCCCACUCCUCCCCCAGGUGGUUGGUGGCCGUGGGCUCACGUGGGUUCGGCGAGGUGGUGCCGGGCAUGUCUUGGGGAGGGGGCUGCUAGAGUCUGAAGUAUGCUUUGGAGCCACCUGUGCCGACAGCCGGAAAGACAGGCUCGAGCUGGCGCGGCCCCCAGACCCCCGCGGGAUCAGGAGGACAUGACUCCUGGCUGAGAGCCCCUCCCAGGAGGCCCCGUGUGGACGCCCUCGCGCCUGCCUGACAGACCUCCCCUUCCCCCGGUGCCAGGACAGCCUGCCUGGUUUACACCCUGUGGCCUUCGUCCCCAACAAGGAGGAGCAAGACGGGGUGGAGGGGGUGCUGACCUGUGUUCCGAGCCAGCGCUGCUGCUGCUUCCGGAAUGGGGGCCACGCCUGCUUGGAGGAGGAGGUGGGCGGAGGACCGGUGUCAGCUGCUGCCUUGGCCCUCGGCUUUGCCAGCCCGCCGUUGGGGCACCCUGUUGCCUGUCCACCCACCGGCCUUUGUUAACUUAACCUUCAACAGUUGGUUCAGAAAUGGGCAUGUGACCCAAUGUGAGAGAGACUUCAGGAAACCACUUUUCCUGCUCUUGACGGAGGUCCGUAGGAGGACAGACCACCUUGCCUCUGUCAGUGACCCAUGUCUGGACGUGAUGCCGGGGAUCACUGGGCGUCUUGGCACCAGCCGUGUCUGGGACCGCCCUGCCUUUGAGGCGCUGGCAAGAGACAUGAGAUCAAGCCAGAGAGCCUGGCUGGGCAUAGUGCAGCUGGACCCCUGUCUCCUGGCUCCGUGGGCUUCCCUUCUUCCUGAAUCCCAUGAUGUGGUCCGCGUGGAUGCUGUGCCUGCAGGGUCUCUGAAAAACAGUGAGCUCAGCCGGAACUGCUAACAAUGGGCCACAGGCCAGCUCACCUGACUUUUACCCCAGAAAACAAACAGCUUUGCCCUUGGCUUUGGAAGGGGCAUCCUCUCUGCCAAUGGUGUUUGCUACAGCAUCAUCCUUGAUGAGGUGGUUGGGACCAACAGUGGCCCUGCCUCUGCCUGCAGCCGUGCAGGAGCGUGACAGACCCAGGGAAGUGGUGGCGGAGCAGCGACGGGAAAGGAGUAUGGUUCCGGUGACAUCAUGAAGCCCAAGUGGGAUCUGCCCUUUUGUGACUCCGUUUGGGGAGGUCAGAGAUGGGGACCUGACCUCGUGUCCUGGGCGCUUCGUCACCGCAGUUGAACCAGCCCCCGUGUGCUGCUGUCAGGAGGCCAUGAGGUCAGGAGGGAAGGAACGAGCUGUGAGGGCCGGUCGGGGGCAGGAGCACAGGCCGUCUGCGUCCCGGUCACAGGUGACGCCGGGAUCUUACAGGUCGGGAGCGAGCCCGUGAGCCGCCCACGUCCUCGCGACGGGCCCUUCGUCGGUCCUUGGAGCCGCAGCCACUGUGCCGGCCGAACAGGGGCAUCUGAGCAAGGGUCGUCUUCUCAUGGUCACUGGCUGCCGGGCUGCUUUUGUGAAGGGUCAACAUCGAUGGCUUGUUUUUC